GAGUGUGUAUGUAUGUGUGCACUUGCAUGUGUACACGUGUGUUAACACAUGUACACACAUGCACCCUA
rnacentral:miRNA from 1 species